rnacentral:rRNA from 1 species
UACAUGUGGGGCAAGCGUUGUUCGGAAUUACUGGGCAUAAAGCGCACGUAGGCGGACUCUUAAGUCGGUGGUGAAAUCCUGGAGCUCAACUCCUGAACUGCCUUCGAUACUGAGAGUCUCGAGUCCGAGAGAGGUGAGUGGAACUGCGAGUGUAGAGGUGAAAUUCGUAGAUAUUCGCAAGAACACCAGUGGCGAAGGCGGCUCACUGGCUCGGUACUGACGCUGAGGUGCGAAAGCGUGGGGAGCAAACAGG